rnacentral:rRNA from 1 species
UACAGAGGUCUCAAGCGUUGUUCGGAUUCAUUGGGCGUAAAGGGUGCGUAGGCGGCGCGGUAAGUCGGGUGUGAAAUCUCGGGGCUUAACUUCGAAACUGCAUUCGAUACUGCCGUGCUUGAGGACUGGAGAGGAGACUGGAAUUUACGGUGUAGCGGUGAAAUGCGUAGAUAUCGGAAGGAAGACCAGUGGCGAAGGCGGGUCUCUGGACAGUUCCUGACGCUGAGGCACGAAGGCCAGGGGAGCAAACGGG